rnacentral:rRNA from 1 species
AGGGGCCAGGCGUUAUCCUGCAUUACUGGGUGUAAAAGGGAAGCGUAGGACUGGUGAUCAGUCAUGAAAGUGAGAACACCACGGGCUUCAACUUCGGGGACUGCUUUGUAUACUGAGUAGCUAGAGUGCAGGAGGAGGUGGAGGCGGAAUCCUAGUGUAGCGGUGGAAUGACGUAGAUAUUAGGAGGAAGACCAGUGGCGAAGGCGGCGUACUGGACUGUAACUGACGUUGAGGCUCGAAAGCGUGGGGAGCAAACACGAAUAGAUACCCUGGUAGUCCACGCCGUAAACGAUGAGUACUAGGUGUCAGGGGGCAAAGCUCUUUGUUGGCGCAGCAAACGCAAUAAGUAUUCCACCUGGGGAGUACGUUCGCAAGAAUGAAACUCAAAGGAAUAGACGGGGACCCGCACAAGCGGUGGAGCAUGUGGUUUAAUUUGAAGCAACGCGAAGAACCUUACCAAGUCUUGACAUCCCUCUGACGAGGAAGUAACGUUCCUUUUCUUUCUGGACAGAGGAGACAGGUGGUGCAUGGUUGUCGUCAGCUCGUGUCGUGAGAUGUUGGGUUAAGUCCCGCAACGAGCGCAACCCUUACCUUCAGUAGCCAGCGAGUAAAGUCGGGCACUCUGGAGUGACUGCCAGGGAUAACCUGGAGGAAGGUGGGGAGGACGUCAAAUCAUCAUGCCCCUUAUGAUUUGGGGUACACACGUGCUACAAUGGCGUAAACAAAGGGAAGGGAAGCCGUGAGGUGAAGCAAAUCCCAAAAAAAACGUCUCAGUUCGGAUUGUAGUUUGCAACUCGACUACAUGAAGCUGGAAUCGCUAGUAAUCGCGAAUCAGAAUGUCGCGGUGAAUACGUUCCCGGGUCUUGUACACACCGCCCGUCA